rnacentral:snRNA from 1 species
UCACUUACCUGGCGUAGGAAGCAACCUGAUCCGCAAGGGGUUCUUCCCAUCUUGAGACCUUCACAUUGCACUACGUGUUGGUUGACGGGUGCGAUAGUCGCAAAUGUCGACUACUCGGCGCGGAAUUUUUUCUCGGGGGGUUUUGCGUUCGCGCAUGCCCCUA